rnacentral:rRNA from 1 species
AUGGGCCAGGGCGUCGUCGAGAUCCAGCCCCGCGAGCUCCAGUUCACCUUUGAGCUGAAGAAGCAGAGUUCAUGUUCUGUCCAUCUUGUCAACAAAUCUGAUGAAUAUGUCGCUUUCAAGGUUAAGACAACUUCCCCUAAAAGAUACUGCGUCCGACCAAAUAUUGGAGUUAUCCUUCCAAGGGCAACAUGUGAUUUCACAGUUACCAUGCAAGCACAGCGUACUGCGCCACCAGACAUGCAACUAAAAGACAAAUUUUUGGUGCAGACCACAGUUGUUCCUCCUGGUACAUCAGAUGAUGACCUCAUUCCUGCUUUUUUCUCCAAAGAAACCAAUGCAUAUAUUGAGGAAAGUAAAUUGAGAGUUGUCCUUGUUGAUGCAUCUCGUCCUCCUGUGGAGCAACUGAUAAAUAAUGUCCCCAGCACUGAUGCGGCAGUUGAGGUUCCGGUGUUAAAAGAUACACCAAAUGUUCAGAAUGAAGUGCCAGCUAUGGAGAAAAAGGUUCCUGCCCCCCAGGAGAAAAUUUCAGCUGUUGUUCCUAACAUACCUUCCCCUGUCAGGGAGUCUCCAAUCCUUCAAGAAGUUCCUGUGCUACUGCAUGAAGAACCUGCUAUUUUGGCAGAAUCUCCUCCCCCUCUAAAAGACGAAUCUCCUCCCUCUCUAAAACAUGAAUCUCCUCCCCCUAUAAAGGAUUCGUCUGCAAUUACCAUUGAACAACUUUCUCCUCUGAAGGAAGAGACUGUAACUUCAAAGGUGUCUCCUCUGGAAGAAACUCUUCCGAAAGAAACUGUUGCCGUAAGUGACCGAGGUUUUUUCAGUGUGCAGAAUCAUCAAUUAUCUCAUGUGACGGAAGAUGUUCAGAAUCUGAAGUCAAAACUCAACAACCUUGAAUCAAAAUUGGAAGGGGCUGAAAAGAUGAUAAUAAAACUGAGAGAAGAGAGCAGGACUACAACCCAGGAGCGGGAUAGGCUGCAGCAAGAGAUGGUAGUUUUAAAGAAGGGAACCCCAAAGAGUCAGCUAGGCUUCCCGUUGCUGUUUGUGGUCUAUGUGGCGCUUCUCGGCACAUCCCUCGGCUACCUCUUGCGCCUAUGA